rnacentral:rRNA from 1 species
GAUGCUUUACCAUGCAGUCGAACGGCAGCACGGGGCAACCUGGUGGCGAGUGGCGAACGGGUGAGUAAUAUAUCGGAACGUGCCCAGUCGUGGGGGAUAACGUAGCGAAAGUUACGCUAAUACCGCAUACGAUCUACGGAUGAAAGCGGGGGAUCGCAAGACCUCGCGCGAAUGGAGCGGCCGAUAUCAGAUUAGGUAGUUGGUGGGGUAAAGGCUCACCAAGCCAACGAUCUGUAGCUGGUCUGAGAGGACGACCAGCCACACUGGAACUGAGACACGGUCCAGACUCCUACGGGAGGCAGCAGUGGGGAAUUUUGGACAAUGGGCGCAAGCCUGAUCCAGCCAUUCCGCGUGCAGGAUGAAGGCCUUCGGGUUGUAAACUGCUUUUGUACGGAACGAAACGGUCUGCCCUAAUACGGCGGGCUAAUGACGGUACCGUAAGAAUAAGCACCGGCUAACUACGUGCCAGCAGCCGCGGUAAUACGUAGGGUGCAAGCGUUAAUCGGAAUUACUGGGCGUAAAGCGUGCGCAGGCGGUUAUAUAAGACAGAUGUGAAAUCCCCGGGCUCAACCUGGGAACUGCAUUUGUGACUGUAUAGCUAGAGUACGGCAGAGGGGGAUGGAAUUCCGCGUGUAGCAGUGAAAUGCGUAGAUAUGCGGAGGAACACCGAUGGCGAAGGCAAUCCCCUGGGCCUGUACUGACGCUCAUGCACGAAAGCGUGGGGAGCAAACAGGAUUAGAUACCCUGGUAGUCCACGCCCUAAACGAUGUCAACUGGUUGUUGGGUCUUCACUGACUCAGUAACGAAGCUAACGCGUGAA